rnacentral:rRNA from 1 species
UACGGAAUGUGCAAACGUUAUUCGGAAUCACUGGGCUUAAAGAGUCCGUAGGCGGCAUGUUAGGUGAGGUGUGAAAUCCCCCGGCUCAACCGAGGAAUUGCGCUUCAAACCGGCGUGCUUGAGGAAGAUAGAGGUGGGCGGAACUGAUGGUGGAGCGGUGAAAUGCGUUGAUAUCAUCAGGAACACCGGAGGCGAAGGCGGCCCACUGGGUCUUUUCUGACGCUGAGGGACGAAAGCUAGGGGAGCGAAGCGGG